GACGAACGCUGCCGGCGUGUUUAACACAUGCAAGUCGAACGAAGAGCGACGGAAGCUUGCUUCUAUCAAUCUUAGUGGCGAACGGGUGAGUAACGCGUAAUCAACCUGCCCUUCAGAGGGGGACAACAGUUGGAAACGACUGCUAAUACCGCAUACGAUCUAAUCUCGGCAUCGAGGAUGGAUGAAAGGUGGCCUCUACAUGUAAGCUAUCACUGAAGGAGGGGAUUGCGUCUGAUUAGCUGGUUGGAGGGGUAACGGCCCACCAAGGCGAUGAUCAGUAGCCGGUCUGAGAGGAUGAACGGCCACAUUGGGACUGAGACACGGCCCAGACUCCUACGGGAGGCAGCAGUGGGGAAUCUUCCGCAAUGGACGAAAGUCUGACGGAGCAACGCCGCGUGAGUGAUGACGGCUUCGGGUUGUAAAGCUCUGUUAAUCGGGACGAAAGGCUUUCUUGCGAAUAGUGAGAAGGAUUGACGGUACCGGAAUAGAAAGCCACGGCUAA
rnacentral:rRNA from 1 species